CCCUUGGAUGUUCUGGGCCGCACGCGCGCUACACUGAUGCAUUCAACGAGUCUAAAACCUGGUCUGAUAGGGCUGGGUAAUCUUUUGAAUGUGCAUCGUGAUUGGGAUAGAUGAUUGCAAUUCUUCAUCUUCAACGAGGAAUGCCUAGUAAACGCAAGUCAUCAGCUUGCAUUGAUUACGUCCCUGCCCUUUGUACACACCGCCCGUCGCUCCUACCGAUUGAAUGUUCCGAUGAAUACCAUGGACUGAGAGUAUGAAUGGGUUCGCCUAUUUCUGCUUCUCGGGAAGUGGAGUAAAUCUUAACAUUUAGAGGAAGGAGAAGUCGUAACA
rnacentral:rRNA from 1 species